rnacentral:rRNA from 1 species
GAUGAACGCUAGCGGGAGGCCUAACACAUGCAAGCCGAGCGGUAUUGUUUCUUCGGAAAUGAGAGAGCGGCGUACGGGUGCGGAACACGUGUGCAACCUGCCUUUAUCUGGGGGAUAGCCUUUCGAAAGGAAGAUUAAUACUCCAUAAUAUAUUGAACGGCAUCGUUUAAUAUUGAAAGCUCCGGCGGAUAGAGAUGGGCACGCGCAAGAUUGGCUAGUUGGUGAGGUAACGGCUCACCAAGGCGAUGAUCUUUAGGGGGCCUGAGAGGGUGAUCCCCCACACUGGUACUGAGACACGGACCAGACUCCUACGGGAGGCAGCAGUGAGGAAUAUUGGUCAAUGGGUGCAAGCCUGAACCAGCCAUCCCGCGUGAAGGACGACUGCCCUAUGGGUUGUAAACUUCUUUUGUAUAGGGAUAAACCUACCCUCGUGAGGGUAGCUGAAGGUACUAUACGAAUAAGCACCGGCUAACUCCGUGCCAGCAGCCGCGGUAAUACGGAGGGUGCAAGCGUUAUCCGGAUUUAUUGGGUUUAAAGGGUCCGUAGGCGGACUUAUAAGUCAGUGGUGAAAGCCUGUCGCUUAACGAUAGAACUGCCAUUGAUACUGUAAGUCUUGAGUAUAUUUGAGGUAGCUGGAAUAAGUAGUGUAGCGGUGAAAUGCAUAGAUAUUACUUAGAACACCAAUUGCGAAGGCAGGUUACCAAGAUAUAACUGACGCUGAGGGACGAAAGCGUGGGGAGCGAACAGGAUUAGAUACCCUGGUAGUCCACGCCGUAAACGAUGCUAACUCGUUUUUGGGCUUUAGGGUUCAGAGACCAAGCGAAAGUGAUAAGUUAGCCACCUGGGGAGUACGCUCGCAAGAGUGAAACUCGAAGGAAUUGACGGGGGCCCGCACAAGCGGUGGAUUAUGUGGUUUAAUUCGAUGAUACGCGAGGAACCUUACCAAGACUUAAAUGGGAAUUGACAGCUUUAGAAAUAGAGCUUUCUUCGGACAAUUUUCAAGGUGCUGCAUGGUUGUCGUCAGCUCGUGCCGUGAGGUGUUAGGUUAAGUCCUGCAACGAGCGCAACCCCUGUCACUAGUUGCCAUCAUUCAGUUGGGGACUCUAGUGAGACUGCCUACGCAAGUAGAGAGGAAGGUGGGGAUGACGUCAAAUCAUCACGGCCCUUACGUCUUGGGCCACACACGUAAUACAAUGGCCGGUACAGAGGGUAGCUACACAGCGAUGUGAUGCAAAUCUCGAAAGCCGGUCUCAGUUCGGAUUGGAGUCUGCAACUCGACUCUAUGAAGCUGGAAUCGCUAGUAAUCGCGCAUCAGCCAUGGCGCGGUGAAUACGUUCCCGGGCCU